CCUGGCUGUCCUGGAACUCACUCUGCAGACGACGCUGGCCUUGAACUCACAGAGAUCUACCUGCCUUUGCCUCUCAACUGCUAGGAUUCAAGUCGUGCACCACCCGUGCUUCCUUUGGAGGAUAGACAAGUCUCUGGUUCAUCAUCAAGUUCAGCUCCCUAAAACUGUACGAUAGCUACUUCUAGGAAAAUUCAGAGUGUAAGGAGUUUGCUGCGGGGGACUACUGUGGACAAAGCCCCCUCUACACCCAGUCCUGCUGCAGCACUGCAGGGGGUGGGCCAGCACUGCAGCUGCACGUGCUCAACACUAACUGUGUACCUGGGAAGUCCAGCUUCGGACUGUUGAAGGUGGCGGAGUGUUAGAGAGUACUUGCUUGCCUAGCAUGUGUGGGCUUCUCAGUCUGAUCCUCAGAAGCACAAAGCAAAUAAAAAAUAAUAGGGCUGGUAAGAUGGCUCAUCAGGUAAAAGCUCUCACACAAGCCUGAGUUCAACGCCCAGAGGCCACAGGAAAGAACUAAGUCCUGAAAGCAAAAGUUGUCCUCUGGCUAAGUAAUAAGGAGGACUCAAGGGGGUGUAUAUGGAUCUCCCUGGGAAGGGGACAUAGAACAGAUUUGCAGGUAGACUGGGGGCAGGUGGGGAUGGGAAUAAGAGGGACCAGGCAUAAGUGGGAGGAUGAAGUGAGAGAGUACUGGCAGAGACAACUGGAACUGGGGCACAUUGUGGGGUGUGUGUGGAAACUUACUGCAGUAGAAAUUCUCUAGACACUAUGAGGGUGACCCUAGUGAAGACUCCUAGUAAUGGAGGCUAAGGAGCCUGAACCAGCCAUCUUCUGUAACCAGGGAACAGGGAAGGCUUUCAGUGGUAGGACUAGGGCAUCAACCCAGCCACAAAACCUUUGAUCUACAAUUUGUCCUGUCUACAAGAUAUGCGGGGGUAAUGGUGGCCAACCAUUAACUGGUCCAACUUGAGGCCCAUGCCACGAGAGGGAGCCCAUGCCUGGCAUUGCCUCAAUGGCCAGAAACCAGAGGUUGGUUAGUCCAGAGACCUAGGAUAGGACCAAACAUGACUGUUCCCUCCCUAAAGUCAAUGAAAUCAUUCCUGAUGAUAUUCUGCUAUACUCAUAGAUUGGUUCCUAGCCCAGCAGUCAUCAAGAGGCUUCAGCCAGCAACUGGUGGGAGCAGAUGCAGAGACCCACUGACAGUCAUUAGGCAGAGCUCAGGGAAUCCCACAGAAGAGGGGGAGGAAGGACUGUAGGAGCCAGAGGGGUCAAAGACACCACAGGAACACAUCCGACAGAAUCAACUAAGCAGGGCUCUUAAGGACUCAGAAACUGAAGGAACAAUCAUGGAGCCUAUAUGCAUUUGAGCAAGGUCCUCAUGCAUGUAUGUUAUUAGCUUGGUGUUUUUGUGGGACUCCUAACAAUGGGAAUGGCGGUGUCUCUGACUCUUUUGCCUGUUCUUGGGACCCUUUUCCUCCUACUUGACUGCCUUAUCCAGUAUUGAUAUGAAGGUUUAUGCCUCAAGGGAAUAUGAACCCUAGUAUCUGAGGACAAGAUGGAAAGGCCAACUCCAUUCUCUGAAGAACUUCUAUUUCUUCGCUACUGUCAGGAGUCAAGAAAGAUUCCCUUCCACAUACGGAGCUGGGAGAGACUGUAACCUCCAGGAUUGUCACAGCCCCAGGGUGGGUCUACAGGAUGCCUGUCACAUAAACUCCAAGGUCUUAAAUUAGAGGCUGAUACAGACAAACCUAUGGUUAGUCAUGUCAGGCAAACUUGUCAUUAACUUCUUAAUAACUAUAUAUUGCCAUGUCAGAGGAGACAACUCUCGUAUGUGAAUUUUAGUAUGUUUCAAAGUGUACUAGUGUGCUCUCAUAGAAAGAACCGGUGAAGGGUAAAUGUAGUGGGGUGGCUGGCAUAUUGGACUGUUUCCUAGCUCUCUAUCAUUGCACACAAUGUGCCCUUUGCCUGAAUUACACCCUUCUUCCCCUUACCAACCAACUAGAACGUUCCUAUUCCUCAUUUAAGGUUCAGUCCAUAUGCCACCUCUUCCAAGAAACUUCCGUGGUCUCCAGAGUUGGGCUGAGUAUUCUGUAGCAAUUAUUCUUCAACUGUGUUAAUCACUGUUACCAUAUUGUCUACCUGAAAUUAGGGUCAUAUCUUAUCCAUGUCAGCGUUGUCAGUGUAGAGCAGGAGGCCUAACAUGUAGUAGACAGUCAGACAUUUUGUACAACUGCUCAUCUAAUUGGAUGGUUAAACCAGUGCUGAUGGCUGCUGAACCGAUACUGGCCUGGAGAGGGUGGUCUCUAAAGGCAAGCCACAUGGCUGUGUAUAUUUGCAUUUUGAUAAAGUUGGUGGUGACAGAAGUGUGUGCAUGUGUGUGUGUGUGAUAAAGGUUGGUGGCUGUUAGACAACAGGAUUAGUAUCCAAAGAGUCAUGCACAUGCAGACACACUGGAGUCAGCCUUGUACCCAACG